rnacentral:rRNA from 1 species
UACGUAGGGGGCGAGCGUUAUCCGGAAUCACUGGGUGUAAAGGGAGCGUAGACGGAGUGGUAAGCCUGGAGUGGAAGGCCGCGGCCCAACCGCGGGAGUGCUCUGGGAACUGCCAUGCUGGAGUAUGGGAGGGGUAAGCGGAAUUCCUGGUGUAGCGGUGAAAUGCGUAGAUAUCAGGAGGAACACCGGUGGCGAAGGCGGCUUACUGGACCAUGACUGACGUUGAGGCUCGAAAGCGUGGGGAGCGAACAGG